ensembl:misc_RNA Metazoa_SRP Metazoan signal recognition particle RNA
GCUGGGCAUGGUGGUGCAUGCCUGUAAUCCCAGCUACUCAGGAGGCUGAGGCAGGAGAAUCACUUGAACCCGGGAUGCUGAGGUUGCAGUGAGCUGAGAUUGUGCCACUGCACUCCAGCCUGGGAGACAGAGUGAGACUCUGUCUCAA